GACGAACGCUGGCGGCGUGCUUAACACAUGCAAGUCGAACGAGGUCCAACCACUCGCAAGAGUGGGGCAAACCUAGUGGCGAACGGGUGAGUAACACGUGAGGAACGUGCCCCGGAGACCGGGAUAACAGCGGGAAACCGCUGCUAAUACCGGAUGUCCUCAUCGGACCGCAUGAUCUGAUGAGGAAAUGGAUUCCGCUCCGGGAGCGCCUCGCGGCCUAUCAGCUUGUUGGUGGGGUAACGGCCCACCAAGGCUC
rnacentral:rRNA from 1 species